UCGGAAUUGACACAACACCUGGAUGACUUCAGAUUUGGAAAUCUUAAAAAAAAGAAGAAAUAAUGCACACAAUUCUGAAAACUUGAAGGUACCAUCGGAAUCGACACAACACCUGGAUGACUUCAGAUUUGGAAAUCUUAAAAAAAAAGAAAUAAUUCACACAAUUCUGAAAACUUGAAGGUACCAUCGGAAUCGACACAACACCUGGAUGACUUCAGAUUUGGAAAUCCUCUGGCUGUCAAUAAAAACAAAGUUAAAAAAAAAAAAAGAAAAAAGAAAAAUGCACACAAUUAUGAGAACUUGACGGACACCACUGCAUUGCCACCCAGGGCUGCUACAUGGGCUCGAACCAUCGCAAAUACCUCUGCUAUGAAUGAAUGGAGGAAGCCACU